rnacentral:rRNA from 1 species
AUUGAACGCUGGCGGCAUGCCUUACACAUGCAUGUCGAACGGCAGCGGGCCCUUCGGGGUGCCGGCGAGUGGCGAACGGGUGAGUAAUGCAUCGGAACGUACCCGGGAGAGGGGGAUAACCGGCCGAAAGGCUGGCUAAUACCGCAUGAACUCGGAAGAGCAAAGCGGGGGACCUUCGGGCCUCGCGCUCUCGGAGCGGCCGAUGUCCGAUUAGGCUAGUUGGUGGGGUAAAGGCCCACCAAGGCGACGAUCGGUAGCGGGUCUGAGAGGACGAUCCGCCACACUGGGACUGAGACACGGCCCAGACUCCUACGGGAGGCAGCAGUGGGGAAUCUUGGACAAUGGGCGCAAGCCUGAUCCAGCAAUGCCGCGUGGGUGAAGAAGGCCUUCGGGUUGUAAAGCCCUUUCGGCGGGGAAGAAAUCGGUCAGGCGAAUAGUCUGGCCGGAUGACGGUACCCGCAGAAGAAGCACCGGCUAACUACGUG